rnacentral:lncRNA from 1 species
AGGUGGAGGCUCGUCUCAACCGCUCUACUUCCUCCUGAACACCCUCAAGCUCAUCCGCGGCCGACAGGGGCACCCUCUUGACCGCCACCGGGUGCUUACAUCUCUUGGCACCACCAGCACCAGGCCGGCCAGCACGGGACAGCGUGGCGACACAGACCUCCUGGCCGGCGGGGCCAGGCGGGCCGCUCCCGAUGCGGCGGGCUAGCUAGAGGUCCGGGUGCGAGGCGAGGUCCAGGGAGGUGCAGGGUGGCAGGGCGGCAGCGGGCGCAGGGGUGCGCUUGGGGCGGGCGAAGAAGUCGUCCUCAUCGUCGUCGGAGGAGCCGGAGUCGGAGUGCAGGAAGGAUGGGGAAGAGGGGGAGUCGGAGAGGAGCGAGAGGAUGGGGAAGUUCUUGCGGAGCGCAGAG